rnacentral:ncRNA from 13 species
UCGCAAUUUUCAGGAGACGGUUCCGCCAUUGCGGCGGAUGAAAAGGGAACACGGUGAAGCCAUAGGGCUGAAACCGAGACUGCCCCCGCAACUGUAACCGGAGAGCUAUCCUCCACAGGCCGCGCAAGCGGCCAAAGCCACUGAAAGCAGCAAUAUGCUGCAAUCGGGAAGGCGGAGGCAAAGCGAAGACCCGGAAGUCAGGAGACCUGCCGUAUCCGGUCACCCAUGC